rnacentral:rRNA from 1 species
CGUAAGGCGCCGAAUGAGUCAUUAAAAAUUAACAUCAUCCGAUCCCUAGUCGGCAUAGUUUAUGGUUAAGACUACGACGGUAUCUGAUCGUCUUCGAUCCCCUAACUUUCGUUCUUGAUUAAUGAAAACAUCCUUGGCAAAUGCUUUCGCAGUAGUUAGUCUUCAAUAAAUCCAAGAAUUUCACCUCUGACAAUUGAAUACUAAUGCCCCCAAUAUCCCUAUUAAUCAUUACGUCAAUCCUAGAAACCAACAAAAUAGGAUCGAACGUCCUAUUUCAUUAUUCCAUGCUAAUGUAUUCAAGCGUUAGCUUGCUUUAAACACUCUAAUUUUUC